GGCGCUGUAGUCAAGUGGUGACUUCGUUUCCUGACAAAGGAGACGUUGGGGGUUCGAUUCCUCUGCAGCGACA